rnacentral:tRNA from 1 species
GGGCGAGUGGCGGAAUGGUAUACGCGCGACACUUAAAAUGUCGUGUCCUACGGAUAUGAGGGUUCGACUCCCUCCUCGCCCA